rnacentral:rRNA from 1 species
AAAUUGAAGAGUUUGAUCAUGGCUCAGAUUGAACGCUGGCGGCAGGCCUAACACAUGCAAGUCGAACGGUAACAGGAAGCAGCUUGCUGCUUCGCUGACGAGUGGCGGACGGGUGAGUAAUGUCUGGGAAACUGCCUGAUGGAGGGGGAUAACUACUGGAAACGGUAGCUAAUACCGCAUAAUGUCGCAAGACCAAAGAGGGGGACCUUCGGGCCUCUUGCCAUCGGAUGUGCCCAGAUGGGAUUAGCUAG